rnacentral:rRNA from 1 species
CGGCGGACGGGUGAGUAACGCGUGGGUAACCUGCCUCACACAGGGGGAUAACAGUUAGAAAUGACUGCUAAUACCGCAUAAGACCACAGCACCGCAUGGUGCGGGGGUAAAAACUCCGGUGGUGUGAGAUGGACCCGCGUCUGAUUAGCUAGUUGGUAAGGUAACGGCUUACCAAGGCGACGAUCAGUAGCCGACCUGAGAGGGUGACCGGCCACAUUGGGACUGAGACACGGCCCAAACUCCUACGGGAGGCAGCAUG